CCACCUCCCCCUUCCACUGGAAUAUCUCCGAUAGCUCUCCGACUUCGCCAACCUGCAAGGAAUUGCAAUUCAUUAAUCGAAAAGAGCAACAUUGCUAGGAGCAGGUUUCUAGGGCUGUGGUAUUGUUCCCAUCCUCGCACUUGAGCGAACUCUGCGAGCCUGUCCCUGAGUUCAUGCAGUGAGACGUCUUUGGCGGUUUUCUCAGGUUCGUAAGAACGACUCUCCAUUUCUCUCUCUCUGUGAUCUGUUUUUCUCUGCUUGUGGUUGUGACCUCUGUGUUCGGUUGGGCGGUAAAUUUAUAGAAGUCAGUUUAGGGCAGAGAGAGAGGAGAGAUAGGGAAGAAUUUGAUGAUGAUAGUGGGAUGUGCACUUGAGGUGUUUGAUAAAAAGAUAAAACAGUAAUUAAGGCAUGUGAAGUGUGGGCAAGCUUGUCUCCAUCUUUCCAUUCAUGGCUUCAAAUCACCUAUCUGCUGCUACACCUCAUGCCUUGCCAUGUCUCUCCACUUCUCUAUACCUCAACUUCUUUCAACAUUUUGAAUUUGAAGGUUGUGCGACUUUUGGA